CUCAUUUCAAUACUUCAUUUGUUGGCAAAACACAAAUAAAUUCAUUGAGUUCAUCGUUUAUAAAACUAUGGAAGUGAGCAGAUAACUAGCAGUAAUAUCAUCAUGAUUCUCAAUGCCAUGUCCAGUAGCUAUACAAAACCAAACAUCACAAGUGGUGAGUCCUGAACUAAGCCGGGGGAUAGCAGAAGUUCUUUAGGAUAACUGGUGCAUGAGCUGAGGAUUACUUCUGCUACUGCCCCUCCAAAACAGUAAGGUCACAGAAUGGCUUCCAAAACAGUAAUGGUUGCUUUUGUGCUUUCUAGAUAUGCAAUGCUGUUGCUGUGGCAGGUUAUCUUAACGCGACCCUGGUCAUUCCACAUUUCCACUUUCAUAGCAUUUGGAGGGAUCCAAGGUUGAUUUUCUCUUCUAUUGUUCUAUACUUUCAGGGGCUCAGUGAUUUUAUUAUUUCAUAGAUAUACAUAUAAUCAAUGUACAACUCAGGAAGUGUGUAAAGCCUGCUAACAUCUCAUGGGUAGCUGUUACUGGUGAAAAGCUCUUGAUUAUGUCAUAUAAUUGUGUAGAUCAGUGAAAUGCAUUAAACCUGGCUAUGACAUUAAAAAUUUGGCAACUCUAAUUGAUUAAAUCAUUAGAGAAAAAAACGGACAAAAGGCAGUGGGUCAAAACAGACACUCUCCAAGGCUCUUAUUCCAUAUCUUGUAUGCUAGAGAGCAUUCAAGAGGAGUUCAGAUGGUGUUUUACAGGUAUCUAUGGACCUCACACAGAUCCGGAAAGGGAAGAGAUGUGGCACGAAAUUGCUGGAGUUCGGGGGUUAUGGGAUGGACAUUGGGUAUUAGGGGGUGAUUUCAAUGUGUGCAGAUUUGAAAGCGAGAAAUUAAAUUGCUUGAGAAGGACUAGUGCCAUGAGAUCCUUCUCAGACACCAUUCAGGACCUUAACCUGAUUGAUUUGCCAUUACAAGGGGCUCAAUUUACAUGGUCUAGGGGUGAUAAUUUUGUGCAAGCAUCUAGAAUUGAUAGAUUUCUCAUCUCCACCGAGUGGAGUGACUCAUUCAAGGAUGUAAAACAAUCAGCUCUCCCAAAAGUAAUCUCUGAUCACAAACCUAUUCUACUUGAAUGCGGAGACUGGGAUGUUAGCCCUUCAUACUUCAAGUUUGAAAACAUGUGGCUUCAAUCAGAAGGGUUUCUAGAGAAGCUAGAAUAUUGGUGGCAGAGCUACAAUAUAGUGGGCAGGGCAGAUUUUGUACUACUUCAGAAAUUGAAAAGGUUGAAGAGGGAUAUAACAAACUGGAACAGAGAAGAAUUUGGCAAGGUAGAGACCAGGAAACCAGAGCUCUAGAUGAGCUGGCAGCUUUUGAGCAAGCAGCUGAGAGUAGACAAUUAACAGUUCCAGAACUAUUCAGAUGUGAACCUGAGAAUUGAGCUUCAACAACUAGUUAAAGCUGAGGAAAUCUCAUGGAGACAGAAAUCCAGAUGCUUAUGGCUCAAAGAGGGAGACAAGAACACAAAGUUCUUCCAAAAAAUUGCAAAUUCUCAUAGAAGGGGCAAUUGCAUAGACAAACUCAAAGUGGGAACUGAGAUCAUUGAAGAUAAGCAGAGGAUAAAGCAAGAAACUGUUGAUUUUUACAAAAGUUUGUACACUGAACCUGAAUAAAGUGGGAACUGAGAUCAUUGAAGAUAAGCAUAGGAUAAAGCAAGAAACUGUUGAUUUUUACGAAAGUUUGUACACUGAACCUGAACAGUGGAGGCCUUCAGCCAACUUUUAGGGCAUUCCAUCCAUCUCAGUUGAGGAAAAGUUUAAUCUGGAAGCAACUUUUCAAGAAGAGGAAGUAUUGGCAGCUAUUCAGUCUUGCGCUCCCGACAAGGCACCAGGGCCAGAUGGGUACACAAUGGCAUUUUAUCAGAAAUCAUGGGACUUCAUCAAAGUUGACAUACUGGCAGCUAUGAACCAUUACCAUCAACAUUGUUGGAUGGUUAGAUCAUGCAAUGCCUCCUUCAUAGCUCUCAUUCCCAAGAAAAAAGGAGCAAUAGAACUCAAAGAUUAUAGGCCAAUUAGUUUAAUUGGGAGUGUCUACAAGAUCAUAGCUAAAGUCCUGGCAGAAAGGUUAAAGACAGUUAUGGGAAAGCUAGUCUCUAAACACCAGAAUGCUUUUCUUAAAGAUAGGCAAAUCACUGAUGCCUCACUGAUUGCAAAUGAGGUUCUUGAUUGGAAAAUAAAAAACGGAGGGGCGGGCAUCUUAUGCAAGUUGGAUAUAGAGAAGGCCUUUGAUCAGUUGAAUUGGUCAUAUCUUCUUUCCAUCCUUAGGCAAAUGGGGUUCGGUGAAAGAUGGAUCAAUUGGAUCAAUUUCAACAUUUCUACAGUAAAAUACUCAAUUCUCAUCAACAGAAGUCCAGUUGGGUUUUUCUCCCCACAAAGAGGUUUGAGGCAGGGAGAUCCACUUUCUCCUUUUCUCUUCAUACUUGCAAGUUGCAAUGGAGGGUUUAAGCAGAAUGUUAGAUAAAGCCAAGCAAUUGCAAUGGCUGAAUGGUUUUGAUGUGGGGAGCAUGAUCACUACAAACAUCUCUCAUCUGCUUUAUGCAGAUGACACUCUGAUAUUUUGUGAGGCAAACAGGAGUCAAGUUCUCUAUUUGAAUCUAACCCUUUUGAUUUUUGAAGCCCUCUCAGGUUUGCACAUCAAUAUGCUAAAAAGUGUGAUCUAUCCUGUUAAUGAGGUGCUAAACUUGGAAGAAUUAGCAGGUAUCUUGGGAUGUAGUAUGGGUGAAUUCCCAAAAACCUAUUUGGGGUUUCCACUAGGUGCUAAGUAUAAGUCAACAGCUAUAUGGGGACGAGUUAUUGAGAAGUUUGAGAAAAAACUUGCCUCCUGGAAGAUGCAGUACCUAUCGACAGGGGGCAGACUUACACUGAUCAACAGUGUACUUGAUAGUAUUCCCACAUACUAUAUGCAACUUUUUCCUAUUCCUGGCAAAGUGUUGGAACAACUUGACAAGAUCAGGAGAGAUUUUCUAUGGGAAGGGAAUAGUGAGAAGCACAAGUAUCAUCUGGUGGAAUGGCCAAAAGUCCUUCUUCCUAAACUACAGGGGGGGUUAGGGAUCAAGGAUUUGGCGCUGCAUAAUAAGUGUCUACUUAUGAAAUGGUUAUGGAGAUACACACAGGAGGAACAUGUUUUAUGGAAGGAUGUGGUCAGUGCAAAGCAUGGGAUACAGAGUCAUUGGUGCACCAGUCUUUCAAAAGCACCUUAUGGGGUCGGAGUCUGGAAACACAUAUGCAAGCUAUGGGAGAAAUUUUCUCAGCAUAAGCACUUCACAGUGGGGAAUGGACUUCAUAUCAGAUUUUGGAAAGACAAAUGGCUUCGCAACACAGUUCUGAUGGAUGAUUAUCCAAGUCUUUUCAACUUAGCCAGGGAUCCAGACUCAACAAUUUCUCAAAAUAGAGAUGGAGCAACCUGGAGCAUUAUGUUUAGAAGGAAUAUGCAGGAUUGGGAGUUUAAUGACCUGAUCAAACUACUACAGACUCUACAGAGUUUCUCUCUCAACACUCAGGCAACAGAUCAGUUCAAAUGGGGUACUACAGGAGACGGGAAUUACACAGUGAGUGCAGCCUACAAGCAGUCAAGAGCAUUUAAUGCAGUCACUGACCACUGGCCAUGGAAAUUAAUUUGGAAAAUCAAGCUACCGCCCAAGAUCGUCUGUUUUUGCUGGACUGCACUAUAUGAAGCAUGCCUAACUCAAGACAACCUCUAUAAAAGGAAACGCAUCAUUGUGAAUGGAUGCUACUUAUGUCAGAAAGCAGCAGAGAGCAAUAGGCACCUUUUUCUGCAUUGUACUGUUACAGCAAAAUUGUGGAACAUGUUUUACUCUUUUUUUGGACUCAGUUGGGUCAUGCCACAUAGUAUCAAAGAAGCUUAUGAGAGUUGGUGUUGCUGGAAAGUUGACAGCACCAUCAAACAGACUUGGAAGAUGAUACCUGCAGCAAUUUUUUGGAGUAUUUGGAGGGAAAGGAACAGAAGAUGUUUUGAAGGUCUAUCAACUCCUUUACAUUCUCUCAAAGCGGAAUGCCUUAUAUGUCUGUACAGUUGGGUUAAUUUGUCCUAUGUAGAUUCCCUGGAUAGUUUUUCAAAUUUUGUUGGCUCCUUAGUUUUAGCAUAAUUGUACUUGAGCCAGCAGACCAACUGUUUUUGCUUCUACUUUUGUAACUAAUUUGCAUCUUCUUGAUGCCUUCAAUGGAACAUUUACUUCAUCAAAAAAAAAGGUCACAGAAUGGCUUCUAGGGAGUCAGAAGCAAGCUGAGCGAAAUGCAGGUAGAAGUCGCACAAGAAGAGGGUGAGACAUUCAUUCCCCAUCUAUUCAGAAGCAAAUAAAGGUUUACAAACAGAAACAGUACAUGGACAACGAAAGCAAAUUCCCAUGUGAGAUACCUUGAAGAAGACAAAGUAAGGAACAGCAGAAACAGAGUGCAGCUCAGAUAUCUCAGGCUGUUCUUCAGCUUCAAC
rnacentral:lncRNA from 1 species